rnacentral:lncRNA from 1 species
CCUUGGAGAUGCAGGACCAGGUGUUGGCAAGAGAGCAACCCUCCCAGUGCGUCCACCAGGACGAUGGGGCUGCAGAAGAAGCAGCUUCUCCUACCAGGAAGAGCAUCGGCUGCGGAUUCUCUCCACUUCCCACUGACUGACCGCGGGGCGGCUGAAUCUCUGCACCACGUUCAGUCUUCAUGCUGAUGACCCAGCUGCGAAAGAGUCUCUCACUGGUUCCAUGGAAGUGGUCACCGCCCUCCAGCCUGUCCUCCACGCUGACUGAUCCUGGGCGACACACAAGCAAGCGGAAGCCUUCCAGCCCUGCUGGUGAAGGCACUCGGCCAAGGGCAGAACAGGCAGGAAACGCCGGGGGCCACGGCCCCUCCCUGAGCCAGGCAACCUGGUCCCCAUUCCCAAAGGGGACCGUCCUGUGAGGGACAAGCUCUCCUCCCGUGGGUGGCCCAGCUUUAACCAAAGCCCACCAAUGCAUUCGUGGUGACACUCGGCACAGUGCGUCAGACUGGAGGGGGUGUUCUGAGCUGACCUGGGAUACCUGGUCGUCUGCUGUGGCUUUUGCUCUGAAGGAUGGAUUGUGCUCGGGCUCAGGGAGGGUGGAGGCUCACGCUGCAUGGUAGGGGUCCGGGUUCUCCAGGGGGAAGCUACUGACCCAUCAGCUGGGUGGGGGGAGCUGUGCUUCUCCUCACCCCUCCUCUCCCCCGCCCCCCUCCCUCUGCUCCCUCCCCUCUCCUCCUCCUCCUCGCCUGCCUCUUUCAGGCCUGGGGCAGCAGGCCUGGCGGCUCCCUAAGGCAGCUUUCAGCCUUGCUGCACUCUGGACCUAGACCUGGCCGAUCACCACAGCAUCGUCGACAGGCUCUGCGAGGGUACGUGGGACUUCAGCAAGCACAGGGGCUCUCAGUGGAAAGCAGUUUCGGUUAAAUUAAAUUGCCAAUGUAAAUAUGGCUUCAGACGCAGGAUAAAGAUGAC